rnacentral:lncRNA from 10 species
AUGAUGGGAAUCUGCCCAAGCUGUGCCCUCUGGGGAAUGAAAUCUUGCUCCUCGUGCAGCUUCCCCUUUCCCUUGCGGGGUGGGGGCUGGGGGUGCCAAGGCUCCACCCUUGGAGGGGGUUGCUGGGGGUGCCAAGGCUCCACCCUUUGCUCGCUGGGCAGAGGGAAGGAAGCACCUCCCUGUAUGCUCUGCAGGGGCCCCUGCAGGCCACUUUGCCUCAGAGGAAGGAGGAGAGGUCCCCUGGGAAAAUGCGCACACACACACACACACACACACACACACACGCACAUGCACACACGCACGCAUGCACACACACACACACAUAUGUGCAGGGGUGCAGCCUAAGUCAGUGGAGCCAGGACUGGCUGCGCAGCUGGGCCUGCCCCAUUCUUGGAGUCCCCAGGGAAUGAGCCUCAGGAUCCACUUCGUCCCUUGUUUCUAA